GUCAGCAGGCGCUUAUUUCAGUCAAAUGGGUCAGUCCAUUCACAGACAAGACUUAAGAAAAUAUUACCUUUCUACUUAAAGAUUCCAGGAAUUGCACUUUCUGGGCCCAAAGCCUCCCUGCCUGCCCUCACACCUUUUCUACAGCUGCUGGGUCAGACUGAAGCCUGGGGCCGGCCUACACCUCUGCCUUCGAGUCUUAUCUUCAGUUGCCUGGGCUGCCUUCGGCCGGAGGCCCGCCUACCUGCCCAUGCGCCGUUCUUCAGCAGUCCGGCUGCCCGGCUGCCCGCCAUCAGCAGGCCCACAGCAAGAGUGACGGCCAUAUCGGAGUGGCGAGCAGCAGAGAGAGAGCCUCUCCGAGGCUAAUGGCUGAGAAUUGAAGCCCACCGGGAGAGCGAAGAUAGUCACUGCAAUAAAAGACCCAGCAGACUACAGCGGUUGACAUGUUGCUCAGCUGUGCUACACCUCCAGUUCUACUGAUUUCCUCUUCCAACUGUGACAACAAGGCUGGUGAUCCUUAUGGCUUGUCCCACUCUGGAAGCACCUCUAUGGCAAUGAAGCUGAGUAAAGAUGGAAAAUUCCUCAGGUGAUGAACCAAGAAAGCUCUUGUGGAGAAGUUGACCGCCUAGCAACACCCAAGGGAAGUGGGGAUCCAGUCAUGUGACUACUGAGGGAGAAGAAUACUCCAGAUGCUGAAAGAAGAAAGGCAAAGUACAGGAAGUCUGUCUGGGCAUCUAUGAGCACCAAGGAAGCCAAAGAGCCUAAGACAGAGUGAGGAAAGAGGAGACUAAUAGAAGAUAAGGGGACAAGACAGAUGGACACUGCAUUUCACCUGGGAGCGGAGCCAAUGCUAGCUGUGCUUGCUGCCCUGGAGAAGUUUAUAGAAAUGAGGUGGAAUGCAUGAAUUUCCAAGGGAGAAUGAAGCCCUAAGUCCCACUUCCAAGUUUGAUUCGCUCAGGCUAUUGGGUGUUUUGUUUUGGUACCAGGGACCUUGCGCUUGUGAGGCAGGCGGCGCAAUCACUGAGCUAAAUCCCCGGCCCUCAGGCUAUUGGUUUUAAAUGUACC
rnacentral:lncRNA from 1 species